rnacentral:rRNA from 1 species
CAAGGGCCUUAAAAUUAACCGGCAUAACGUCGCAAGACCAAAGAGGGGGACCUUCGGGCCUCUUGCCAUCAGAUGUGCCCAGAUGGGAUUAGCUAGUAGGUGGGGUAACGGCUCACCUAGGCGACGAUCCCUAGCUGGUCUGAGAGGAUGACCAGCCACACUGGAACUGAGACACGGUCCAGACUCCUACGGGAGGCAGCAGUGGGGAAUAUUGCACAAUGGGCGCAAGCCUGAUGCAGCCAUGCCGCGUGUAUGAAGAAGGCCUUCGGGUUGUAAAGUACUUUCAGCGGGGAGGAAGGUGUUGUGGUUAAUAACCGCAGCAAUUGACGUUACCCGCAGAAGAAGCACCGGCUAACUCCGUGCCAGCAGCCGCGGUAAUACGGAGGGUGCAAGCGUUAAUCGGAAUUACUGGGCGUAAAGCGCACGCAGGCGGUCUGUCAAGUCGGAUGUGAAAUCCCCGGGCUCAACCUGGGAACUGCAUUCGAAACUGGCAGGCUAGAGUCUUGUAGAGGGGGGUAGAAUUCCAGGUGUAGCGGUGAAAUGCGUAGAGAUCUGGAGGAAUACCGGGUGGCGAAGGCGGCCCCCUGGACAAAGACUGACGCUCAGGUUGCGAAAAGC